rnacentral:rRNA from 1 species
CAGUGGGAAUCUUAGACAAUGGGCGCAAGCCUGAUCUAGCCAUGCCGCGUGAGUGAUGAAGGCCUUAGGGUCGUAAAGCUCUUUCGCCAGGGAUGAUAAUGACAGUACCUGGUAAAGAAACCCCGGCUAACUCCGUGCCAGCAGCCGCGGUAAUACGGAGGGGGUUAGCGUUGUUCGGAAUUACUGGGCGUAAAGCGCACGUAGGCGGAUUAGAAAGUUGGGGGUGAAAUCCCGGGGCUCAACCCCGGAACUGCCUCCWAAACUCCUAGUCUAGAGUUCGAGAGAGGUGAGUGGAAUUCCGAGUGUAKAGGUGAAAUUCGUAGAUAUUCGGAGGAACACCAGUGGCGAAGGCGGCUCACUGGCUCGAUACUGACGCUGAKGUGCGAAAGUGUGGGGAGCAAACAGGAUUAGAUACCCUGGUAGUCCACACCGUAAACGAUGAAUGCCAGUCGUCGGGUAGUAUACUAUUCGGUGACACACCUAACGGAUUAAGCAUUCCGCCUGGGGAGUACGGUCGCAAGAUUAAACCA